GCCGGGUGUGGUGGCAGGUGCCUGUAAUCCAAACUACUCAGGAGGCUGAGGCAGGAGAAUCACUUGAACCCAGGAGGUGUAGGUUGCAGUGAGCUGAGAUUGUGCCACUGCACUCUAGCCUGGGUGAUAGAGUAAGACUCUGUCUCAA
rnacentral:SRP_RNA from 1 species